rnacentral:rRNA from 1 species
GUUCGGUCCCUAUCUGCCGUGGGCGUUGGAAGAUUGAAGGGGGCUGCUCCUAGUACGAGAGGACCGGAGUGGACGAACCUCUGGUGUUCGGGUUGUGUCGCCAGACGCAUUGCCCGGUAGCUAAGUUCGGAAUCGAUAACCGCUGAAAGCAUCUAAGCGGGAAGCGAGCCCUGAGAUGAGUCUUCCCUGAUACUUUAAGUAUCCUAAAGGGUUGUCGGAGACUACGACGUUGAUAGGUCAGGUGUGUAAGUGCUGUGAGGCAUUGAGCUAACUGAUACUAAUUGCCCGUGAGGCUUAACCAUACAACACCCAAGGGGUUU